CGCUUCAGCUGAGCCAAAACCAAGAAAGCGCUUAUGGAAAAUCUGCAAACGCGAUGAUGUUCAUCCUACUAGAGAAAAAAAUCCCUUCUGUAACAAAAGCUUAGAGCCAAGAAACGCGCUUCCCUGCCAAUCCUGCUUCGCGUCCUCAUCACUGGUUCGUACUUGGGGAUUCACAUUCAAGAAUCGCUUCAACGAUCUACGCUAUCGUCAUCAUCGCGUUUCCAGAUUCGAAAGUUCCCCCAAAUUCAAUUUCACUACUAUCGUACGUGCGCGGGUGGAAUGAAACGGUAUCUAAAAUGGAUCGAAAACUCACCGGAUUAUAGCUCCGGUUGCGAAUAAGUUACCAGUCACGGAUUGGUGAACCUACGUUGCAGAAGAUGAAGGCUUGAGAUGCUGGACGACGUUCUUGGUUGUGGCAGCAAGAACUUGGGAUGCAGACUGAGGUUUUGGAAUAGUAGAUUUAUGCAGAAGAAGCUUUAUGCAAAAGGAAGAACUUUUAUGCAGAAUGAAGAAUUUGAUUGCAGAAAAAAAAACCUCUUUGGAAUUGAAGAAAAGGAUGAAACGAGAAUUGCAGAAAAAUGGAGAAAAAUCUACCCUUGACUGUAAUGAGGUUUUGCAGGUUAAAAUCGAUAGUUACGAAGGAGCCUGAAUUCUGUAGGCGGAACUCGUUUCAGUUAUGCGUUCUUCCAGCUUAUGUUUUGACGCUGCAUUUGCGUUUUUUUACCAUUCUGCAGGUUAGGUUCAAGUGAUGUGGAUAUUGGAUGUUGGUUAAGGGCGUUGGUCUUGGUGAAUGGAUUGGAUUCAUAAGUGGAUAUUGGAUGUUGGUUAAGGCUUUGGAUAUUGAUUGUUACAUGGUUGUUAAAUGGGUUAAUGGAUAUCUGGUUAUAUUAAUGGUUAUUAAAUGGAUAUUGGUUUGAUAUUUAAAUACAAUUAAAAUAAAAGAUAGUUUAAAAUCAA